CCUUCAAACCCUUUCGGUAUCCCUUCUGAUGGCUAUUAAGGUGGGAUAAAUCAACUGAGCCUCCUUAAUCAUCUAGAUCAACCUGAGUUUAAUUGUUAAAUGAGUCAUCCAUAUAGCAUGUUUUAGAUCUUGGAGUUGUAUUUUUUGCAUGACUUCUACCAAUCUCCACUCAGAGAUCAUUAUAUGGGCUAACAAACUUGCAUUUUUCUUACUGAUGGUAUCGGUUACUACAUU
rnacentral:lncRNA from 1 species